ACGUAGGGGACGAGCGUUGUCCGGAUUUACUGGGCGUAAAGGGCGCGUAGGCGGUCAUUUAAGUCAGCUGUGAAAUGGUUUGGAUUAACCGGAUCAUGCGGUUGAAACUGGAUGACUGGAGUGCUGGAUAGGCAAGUGGAAUUCCCAGUGUAGCGGUGUAAGGCGUCGAUAUUUGGAAGAACACCGUUGGCGAAGGCGACUUGCUGGCCAGCAACUGACGCUGAGGCGCGAAAGCCAGGGGAGCAAAAGA
rnacentral:rRNA from 1 species